rnacentral:rRNA from 1 species
CUAGUUGGUAAGGUAACGGCUUACCAAGGCGACGAUCAGUAGCCGACCUGAGAGGGUGAUCGGCCACAUUGGAACUGAGACACGGUCCAAACUCCUACGGGAGGCAGCAGUGGGGAAUAUUGCACAAUGGGCGAAAGCCUGAUGCAGCAACGCCGCGUGAGUGAUGAAGGCCUUCGGGUCGUAAAACUCUGUCCUCAAGGAAGAUAAUGACGGUACUUGAGGAGGAAGCCCCGGCUAACUACGUGCCAGCAGCCGCGGUAAUACGUAGGGGGCUAGCGUUAUCCGGAUUUACUGGGCGUAAAGGGUGCGUAGGCGGUCUUUCAAGUCAGGAGUGAAAGGCUACGGCUCAACCGUAGUAAGCUCUUGAAACUGGGAGACUUGAGUGCAGGAGAGGAGAGUGGAAUUCCUAGUGUAGCGGUGAAAUGCGUAGAUAUUAGGAGGAACACCAGUUGCGAAGGCGGCUCUCUGGACUGUAACUGACGCUGAGGCACGAAAGCGUGGGGAGCAAACAGGAUUAGAUACCCUGGUAGUCCACGCUGUAAACGAUGAGUAC